CGGCCGCUGGAAGCCGAGUCAGAAUGCACGAAUUCUUGGGAUUUACUCAAAUCCCAAACAAAUACCCCCUAAUUCAUGCUCAAUUCCGUGGAUUUCAUCAAAUCCCCAGCUAAUACACCCCUAAAUUAUAUAAUUCAUGCUCAAUAAUGAUCGUUAUGAAUCCAUUAAAAAAAUCUAAAAAUAACGUCAACAUCCAUAAAAAAUCCAACAUUGAAAAAAAAAAUGUUAAUUCAAUAACAUCCAUCAAAAC
rnacentral:lncRNA from 1 species